rnacentral:rRNA from 1 species
GCUUGUCUCAAAGAUUAAGCCAUGCAUGUCUAAGUAUAAACAAAUCUAUACUGUGAAACUGCGAAUGGCUCAUUAUAUCAGUUAUAGUUUCUUUGAUGGUUCUUACUACUUGGAUAACCGUAGUAAUUCUAGAGCUAAUACAUGCAUGAACCCCCGACUUUUGAAGGGGUGUAUUUAUUAGAUACAAAACCAAUGCCCUUCGGGGCUCCUUGGUGAUUCAUGAUAACUAUACGAAUCGCACGGCCUUGCGCCGGCGAUGGUUCAUUCAAAUUUCUUCCCUAUCAACUUUCGAUGUUUGGGUAUUGGCCAAACAUGGUUGCAACGGGUAACGGAGGGUUAGGGCUCGACCCCGGAGAAGGAGCCUGAGAAACGGCUACUACAUCCAAGGAAGGCAGCAGG